UGGGGAAUAUUGGGCAAUGGGCGCAAGCCUGACCCAGCAACGCCGCGUGAAGGAUGAAGGCUUUCGGGUUGUAAACUUCUUUUAUCAGGGACGAAGAAAAUGACGGUACCUGAUGAAUAAGCCACGGCUAACUACGUGCCAGCAGCCGCGGUAAUACGUAGGUGGCAAGCGUUAUCCGGAUUUACUGGGUGUAAAGGGCGUGUAGGCGGGACUGCAAGUCAGAUGUGAAAACUAUGGGCUCAACCCAUAGCCUGCAUUUGAAACUGUAGUUCUUGAGUGCUGGAGAGGCAAUCGGAAUUCCGUGUGUAGCGGUGAAAUGCAUAGAUAUACGGAGGAACACCAGUGGCGAAGGCGGAUUGCUGGACAGUAACUGACGCUGAGGCGCGAAAGCGUGGGGAGCAAACA
rnacentral:rRNA from 1 species